AUCACUUUUCGGCCUUCUGGCUAAGAUCUAGUAUCUGUUCUUACCAGUUUAAUAUCUGAUACGUCCUCUAUCCAAGGACAUUAUAUUAUAAGGAUUUUUGGAGCUGGGAGAUGGAAUAGGAGCUUGCUCAGUCCACUCCAUGCAUCGACCCAGUAUUGCAGUACUUCUGGGAAUGGGGUGGGGGGA